AGACACAUAAAUGUAAUGCUCAUAGAAGGAUGAAAAUAUGAAAAUAGAGAUAAUUUGUUUUAUAAAACUAGACUAAACUUGUCAACAGAAAUUGAUGAGUAUAUUUAAAAUUCUAAAACAAUUUGUCAUAAAUACAUUAGAUGUCCAAAUCCAAAAUAAAAUACCAGCAAACAUAAUGAAACAACAUAUUAAAAGUAUAACAUGUUAUUAUGAACCAGAUACUUCCCAGAACUCUGCAGAUUGAUUAACAUUAGAAAAUAUGUUUACAUAUGUAUACACAUACACACACCCCAUAUCAGCAAAUAAGAAAAACAUCCUGAUAAUCCCAGUAGAUAUUAAAAAGGUCUUUGAUUACAUUCAGUAUGCAUUAAUCAUAAACUGUGAGUUAUGGGAAUUUAAUGACAAAGAAUAUGAAUCAUAAACUGAUUCAGCAUGGGCUGGGCAUGCUAGCUUAUGUCUGUAAUCCCAGCACUUUGCAAGACUGAGGCAGGCGAAUCUUUUGAGGUCAGGAGUUCAAGACCAACAUGGCCAACAUGGUGAAACCCCAUCUCUACUGAAAAUAUAUACAUUAGCUGGGCGUGGUGGCACACACCUGUAAUCUCAGUUACUCUGAAAGCUGAGGCAGCAGAAUCGCUUGAACCUGGAGGCUGAGUUUGCAAAAUCAUGCCACUGCACUCCAGCCUGGGCGACAGAGAGGCUCAGUCUCAAAAAAAAAAAAAAAAAAAAAAAAAAGGAAAAGAAAAAAGAGUCAGCAUAAUGCAGACUUCAAGGCCCUUGGGUUGGCUUUUACCUACAUCCUAGUGUCAUCUCAGAUACCCUUUCCAUUGCGUUUUUUAUUCUGUCUGAGGACCACCACUUGUGUUGAUCUUGUGUUCCUCCAACGUUGGCUUUCCUCUUGAUCUAAUCCAACACCUUCAGUUCCCCAAUAAAAGAGCUAUGGCCACCAGAUUAGUAAAAUCCUUUAGUUAUUUGCUAUUAUAUCACUAAAUCCAUCUUCUAAAACUAUUACACUUCUAUAUAAUUUCUCUAUUUCCUUUAAAACUAGUUUAAUAAACCACACAGAGAUAGAAGUUGUUAGCUCUUGCUAUGGCUUGAAUGUUCUCUAUAACUCAUGCUGAGAUCCAUUUGUAGUUCAGAAACAUGACUAUUGUCUUUUCAAGCUUAUAUGAGAUCUGGCUCCCUCAAUCCUUGCUAUGAUAUCAGUACAUUACCUGUCUGAUGUGAAAAAGAAAAGAUAAAAUGAAAUAAAAGCUCAGACACCACAGAGAGUUUCCACCAGUAAGAAGGCUCUCACCAGAUCCAGCCCCUCAAUCUUAGAAUUCUCAGUCUCCAAAACCGUAAGAAAUAAAUUCCUUUUUAAAUAAAUUACCCAGUUUCCAGGAUUGUUUUAAUAAGUAACAGAAAAUGGAUGAAAACUGAUCUGUCUCCUGAUGUAGAUAUUGGAGCCAAAACUUUAUACUCAUUACUCAAAUAGAGGAUUUUUUCACAGGGUAAAUAUUCAAGGGAGGCAGGGCUGAAUUCUACAUCAGAAGAUAACAUCUCAGAAGAAUAGAUGUUAAUUUUUACUCUCCCCUAGAAACUAUAAUGUACACAGGCUGUGAUGCAGGCUUGACCAAUCGGACUUUGCUACCAAGGAUUCUAAAUCUAGAGAGAGUGCCAACAAAAAGAGUGUCAGCAAGGCUAGCCAUGGACUCUAUUGUC
rnacentral:lncRNA from 1 species